CCAAUAGCGUAUAUUAAAGUUGUUGCAGUUAAAAAGCUCGUAGUUGAAUUUCGGGAUCAGAUUGUCGGUCGUGCCUCGGUACGCACUGGCAUUAUUGGUUCCUACCUUCUGAAGAACCGCGAUUUCAUUAAUUUGGGGUCGUGGGGAAUCAGGACUGUUACUUUGAAAAAAUUAGAGUGUUUAAAGCAGGCGUCCGCUUGAAUACAUUACCAUGGAAUAAUGAAAUAGGACGUUUGAUUCGAUUUUGUUGGUUUCUAGGAUCGACGUAAUGAUUAAUAGGGAUAGUUGGGGGCAUUAGUAUUCAAUUGUCAGAGGUGAAAUUCUUGGAUUUAUUGAAGACUAACUACUGCGAAAGCAUUUGCCAAGGAUGUUUUCAUUAAUCAAGAACGAAAGUUAGGGGAUCGAAGACGAUCAGAUACCGUCGUAGUCUUAACCAUAAACUAUGCCGACUAGGUAUCGGAUGAUGUUAAUUUUUUAAUGACUCAUUCGGCGCCUUACG
rnacentral:rRNA from 1 species